rnacentral:lncRNA from 1 species
GGGGAAUACUCUGAGGACAAUCUGUUCCUGGAAUCGACUUCAGCUGCUAAAUAGCCACAUCAUCAAGGAAGAGAAGAUGGCUUGUUAGUUUCAUGGUUAUUCUCAGUGGAGGCUCCAGAAAUAACUUGCUUGAUUUUUCUCCUUCUUCAGAGUAACAGGCUCGAAACAUGAAUGAGAAAUCAUUCAAUAUGACAUGCUUUACUGUCAAGAAGCCUAGAACAUGCUUGCUGGAAGGAACCAUGCUUUGUUCAUGGUCUCUCACCGGGCCUGACGCUGAAGUCUUUGCUCUUCUCCUUGCAACAAACUUUCCUCCUUUGACAGCAGAUCCAUGCUGGUUUGUUUGGUCAGCUUGUAUUUGGGCUAGUUCUGUGGGGCACGGCUCUUCUUCUAUUAGAUGCUUGUGA